rnacentral:rRNA from 1 species
CAGCCGCCGCGGGAAUACGAAGGGUGCAAGCGUUACUCGGAAUUACUGGGCGUAAAGCGUGCGUAGGUGGUGGUUUAAGUCCGUUGUGAAAGCCCUGGGCUCAACCUGGGAAUUGCAGUGGAUACUGGGUCACUAGAGUGUGGUAGAGGAUAGUGGAAUUUCCGGUGUAGCAGUGAAAUGCGUAGAGAUCGGAAGGAACAUCUGUGGCGAAGGCGACUAUCUGGGCCAACACUGACACUGAGGCACGAAAGCGUGGGGAGCAAACAGGAUUAGAUACCCCCGUAGUUCCCUGUCUCUUAUU